rnacentral:lncRNA from 1 species
UGGUGUCUUAGGAUAUAUUUUCUUAAAGAGACAUAUACCAUGACUUGCAAGUAGAUAACCUCUCUUACUUGUCUCCAUAUUAAAACUCUUUAAUAUGAGAUCUAUGUACCAUGACUGGGAUAAGCCUAACAUCUUUUAGAUCUAUCUCUAUAGAUCUUUAUACCUAGCAUAUAGGAUGCUUCACCUUAAUCUUUUAUGAAAAACUUAUUCGAUAGUCAAGUCU